GUUCACUUCAGUAGCACAUAUACUAAAACUGGAGCAAUAUAGAGAAUAUUAGCAUGGAUCUUGCACAAAAAUAACAUAAAUUUGUGAGGUGUUACAUAUUUAA